rnacentral:rRNA from 1 species
AGGGUGCGAGCGUUAAUCGGAAUUACUGGGCGUAAAGCGUGCGCAGGCGGUUUUGUAAGCCAGAUGUGAAAUCCCCGGGCUUAACCUGGGAACUGCCUUUGUGACUGCACGGCUAGAGUGUGUCAGAGGGGGGUAGAAUUCCACGUGUAGCAGUGAAAUGCGUAGAUAUGUGGAGGAAUACCGAUGGCGAAGGCAGCCCCCUGGGAUAACACUGACGCUCAUGCGCGAAAGCGUGGGGAGCAAGCAGG